AAAGUCACGUGGCGCGUUCGGGAACGGCCGAAAUCUCCCGUAACAGGAAUCGACCGUUUAACGUUAAGGGAACGUGAUAUUAUUGAAUGUUAAUAUAACGUUAUUGAUAUGUUUGUACAAAUACACCACGUUUUAGAACGUCAAAAACUGUAAAACCAAUAUUCCUAUUACGUGUUCAUCGAGCAUGUUUAAUUGAAAACAUUCAAUUAACAUAUAAAUGACACUAACAUCACUCUAAUCUUCUGCUAGCCCCGCCUGCACUAUUCGGUAUCGCGAUACUCUUGACCACACAGAUGCUGUGCCCGACGCCAGUCCAUUAUAAUAUUCAAGUCCUCG